rnacentral:tRNA from 1 species
GGGCCUUUAGCUCAGCUGGUCAGAGCAUCCGGCUCAUAACCGGACGGUCCAGGGUUCAAAUCCCUGAGGGCCCA